UACGGAGGGUGCAAGCGUUGUUCGGAUUUAUUGGGCGUAAAGCGCGUGUAGGCGGUUUCUUAAGUCUGAUGUGAAAGCCCUGGGCUCAACCCAGGAAGUGCAUUGGAUACUGGAUGGCUUGAGUUUGGGAGAGGGAUGCGGAAUUCCAGGUGUAGCGGUGAAAUGCGUAGAUAUCUGGAGGAACACCGGUGGCGAAGGCGGCAUCCUGGACCAACACUGACACUGAGGAGCGAAAGCCAGGGGAGCAAACGGG
rnacentral:rRNA from 1 species